UUCCUGGCGGUCCAGUGGUUAGGACUUGACAGUUUAACUGCUGUGACCCAGGUUCAAUCCCUGGUUAGGGAA
rnacentral:tRNA from 1 species